rnacentral:rRNA from 1 species
CCUACGGGAGGCAGCAGUGGGGAAUUUUGGACAAUGGGCGCAAGCCUGAUCCAGCAAUGCCGCGUGAGUGAAGAAGGCCUUCGGGUUGUAAAGCUCUUUUGUCAGGGAAGAAACGGUGGGAGCUAAUAUCUCCUGCUAAUGACGGUACCUGAAGAAUAAGCACCGGCUAACUACGUGCCAGCAGCCGCGGUAAUACGUAGGGUGCAAGCGUUAAUCGGAAUUACUGGGCGUAAAGCGUGCGCAGGCGGUUUUGUAAGACUGUCGUGAAAUCCCCGGGCUCAACCUGGGAAUGGCGAUGGUGACUGCAAGGCUAGAGUUUGGCAGAGGGGGGUAGAAUUCCACGUGUAGCGGUGAAAUGCGUAGAUAUGUGGAGGAACACCGAUGGCGAAGGCAGCCCCCUGGGUCAAAACUGACGCUCAUGCACGAAAGCGUGGGGAGCAAACAGGAUUAGAUACCCUGGUAGUCCACGCCCUAAACGAUGUCUACUAGUUGUCGGGUCUUAAUUGACUUGGUAACGCAGCUAACGCGUGAAGUGACCGCCUGGGGAGUACGGUCGCAAGAUUAAAACGUCAAAUUGAAUUGACCGGNNGAGAGNGCGAGACGACGACGAGGAGGAGG